rnacentral:rRNA from 1 species
UACGAAGGGGGCUAGCGUUGUUCGGAAUUACUGGGCGUAAAGCGCGCGUAGGCGGCUUUGCAAGUCGGGUGUGAAAUCCCCAGGCUUAACCUGGGAACUGCAUUCGAGACUGCAUUGCUAGAGUAUGGGAGAGGGAAGUGGAAUUUCCGGUGUAGCGGUGAAAUGCGUAGAUAUCGGGAGGAACACCUGUGGCGAAAGCGGCUCACUGGACCACAACUGACGCUGAGGCGCGAAAAGGCUAGGGGGAGCAAACAGG